AUUGAACGCUGGCGGAAUGCUUUACACAUGCAAGUCGAGCGGCAGCACGGGGGCAACCCUGGUGGCGAGCGGCGAACGGGUGAGUAAUACAUCGGAACAUGCCCAGUCGUGGGGGAUAACACUUCGAAAGAAGUGCUAAUACCGCAUACGUCCUGAGGGAGAAAGCGGGGGAUCGCAAGACCUCGCGCGAUUGGAGUGGCCGAUGUCAGAUUAGCUAGUUGGUGGGGUAAAGGCCUACCAAGGCAACGAUCUGUAGCUGGUCUGAGAGGAUGAUCAGCCACACUGGGACUGAGACACGGCACAGACUCCUACGGGAGGCAGCAGUGGGGAAUUUUGGACAAUGGGGGCAACCCUGAUCCAGCCAUUCCGCGUGAGUGAAGAAGGCCUUCGGGUUGUAAAGCUCUUUCGGCAGGAACGAAACGGUGAGCUCUAACAUAGCUCGCUAAUGACGGUACCUGAAGAAGAAGCACCGGCUAACUACGUG
rnacentral:rRNA from 1 species